UACGGAGGGAGCUAGCGUUGUUCGGAAUUACUGGGCGUAAAGCGCACGUAGGCGGCUUUGUAAGUUAGAGGUGAAAGCCCGGGGCUCAACUCCGGAACUGCCUUUAAGACUGCAUCGCUUGAAUCCGGGAGAGGUGAGUGGAAUUCCGAGUGUAGAGGUGAAAUUCGUAGAUAUUCGGAAGAACACCAGUGGCGAAGGCGGCUCACUGGACCGGUAUUGACGCUGAGGUGCGAAAGCGUGGGGAGCAAACAGGAUUGAG
rnacentral:rRNA from 1 species